UGGGGAAUUUUGGACAAUGGGCGAAAGCCUGAUCCAGCAAUGCCGCGUGUGUGAAGAAGGCCUUCGGGUUGUAAAGCACUUUUGUCCGGAAAGAAAUCCUUGGCUCUAAUACAGUCGGGGGAUGACGGUACCGGAAGAAUAAGCACCGGCUAACUACGUGCCAGCAGCCGCGGUAAUACGUAGGGUGCAAGCGUUAAUCGGAAUUACUGGGCGUAAAGCGUGCGCAGGCGGUUUGCUAAGACCGAUGUGAAAUCCCCGGGCUCAACCUGGGAACUGCAUUGGUGACUGGCAGGCUAGAGUAUGGCAGAGGGGGGUAGAAUUCCACGUGUAGCAGUGAAAUGCGUAGAGAUGUGGAGGAAUACCGAUGGCGAAGGCAGCCCCCUGGGCCAAUACUGACGCUCAUGCACGAAAGCGUGGGGAGCAAACAGGAUUAGAUACCCUGGUAGUCCACGCCCUAAACGAUGUCAACUAGUUGUUGGGGAUUCAUUUCCUUAGUAACGUAGCUAACGCGUGAAGUUGACCGCCUGGGGAGUACGUCGCAA
rnacentral:rRNA from 1 species